rnacentral:rRNA from 1 species
GACGAACGCUGGCGGCGUGCUUAACACAUGCAAGUCGAACGGAAAGGCCCUGCUUUUGUGGGGUGCUCGAGUGGCGAACGGGUGAGUAACACGUGAGUAACCUGCCCUUGACUUUGGGAUAACUUCAGGAAACUGGGGCUAAUACCGGAUAGGAGCUCCUGCUGCAUGGUGGGGGUUGGAAAGUUUCGGCGGUUGGGGAUGGACUCGCGGCUUAUCAGCUUGUUGGUGGGGUAGUGGCUUACCAAGGCUUUGACGGGUAGCCGGCCUGAGAGGGUGACCGGCCCCAUUGGGCCUGAGAUACGGCCCAGCCUCCUCCGGGAGGCAGCAGUGGGGAAUAUUGCACAAUGGGCGGAAGCCUGAUGCAGCAACGCCGCGUGCGGGAUGACGGCCUUCGGGUUGUAAUCCGCUUUCGCCUGUGACGAAGCGUGAGUGACGGUAAUGGGUAAAGAAGCACCGGCUAACUACGUG